rnacentral:rRNA from 1 species
UGCGUAGGGUGCAAGCGUUGUCCGGAAUUAUUGGGCGUAAAGAGCUCGUAGGCGGUCUGUCGCGUCUGCUGUGAAAACCUAGGGCUUAACUCUGGGCGUGCAGUGGGUACGGGCAGGCUAGAGUGCGGUAGGGGAGACUGGAAUUCCUGGUGUAGCGGUGAAAUGCGCAGAUAUCAGGAGGAACACCGGUGGCGAAGGCGGGUCUCUGGGCCGUAACUGACGCUGAGGAGCGAAAGCAUGGGGAGCGAACAGG